UGGGGAAUUUUGGACAAUGGGCGCAAGCCUGAUCCAGCCAUUCCGCGUGCAGGACGGAGGCCUUCGGGUUGUAAACUGCUUUUGUACGGAACGAAAAGGCUCUGGCUAAUACCUGGGGCUCAUGACGGUACCGUAAGAAUAAGCACCGGCUAACUACGUGCCAGCAGCCGCGGUAAUACGUAGGGUGCAAGCGUUAAUCGGAAUUACUGGGCGUAAAGCGUGCGCAGGCGGUUAUGUAAGACAGAGGCGAAAUCCCCGGGCUCAACCUGGGAACUGCCUUUGUGACUGCAUAGCUGGAGUACGGCAGAGGGGGAUGGAAUUCCGCGUGUAGCAGUGAAAUGCGUAGAUAUGCGGAGGAACACCGAUGGCGAAGGCAAUCCCCUGGGCCUGUACUGACGCUCAUGCACGAAAGCGUGGGGAGCAAAC
rnacentral:rRNA from 1 species